CUUUUCUAUGGAAGCUUGCUUCCACUGAGAAGAUAGUGGCGGACGGGUGAGUAACACGUGGGUAACCUGCCCAUAAGAGGGGGAUAACAUCCGGAAACGGGUGCUAAUACCGCAUAGUUUUCUUGGUCGCAUGAUCGAGAAAGGAAAGACGGCCUUUGCGCUGUCGCUUAUGGAUGGACCCGCGGCGUAUUAGUUAGUUGGUGAGGUAACGGCUCACCAAGACGAUGAUACGUAGCCGACCUGAGAGGGUGAUCGGCCACAUUGGGACUGAGACACGGCCCAAACUCCUACGGGAGGCAGCAGUAGGGAAUCUUCCGCAAUGGACGAAAGUCUGACGGAGCAACGCCGCGUGAGUGAAGAAGGUUUUCGGAUCGUAAAACUCUGUUGUCAGAGAAGAACAAGUCGGAGAGUAACUGCUCCGGCCUUGACGGUAUCUGACCAGAAAGCCACGGCUAACUACGUGCCAGCAGCCGCGGUAAUACGUAGGUGGCAAGCGUUGUCCGGAUUUAUUGGGCGUAAAGCGAGCGCAGGCGGUUCCUUAAGUCUGAUGUGAAAGCCCACGGCUCAACCGUGGAAGGUCAUUGGAAACUGGGGAACUUGAGUGCAGAAGAGGAGAGUGGAAUUCCAUGUGUAGCGGUGAAAUGCGUAGAUAUAU
rnacentral:rRNA from 1 species